CCGCACUUCCGGACAGGGAGGGGUCACGCGGUGCCGCGCCGCGCCGCUUCCAUCCGGGGCCUCAGAGACGCCACGCCCCUCACCCCCUCCCAACCCCCCCGCGGCGCGGGGCGGGGCGCGAGGCGGCCGUUGGGACGGGGGUGGCGGGAGCGGCGUCCUGGCUGUGUGGAGCGCUGCAGUGAGGGGACGCGGUGCAGCGCACCGGGUUGCAGCAGCCCAAGGGGCCGUGGCGUGAAGCAGGCACCCUGUGACCGUCCCAGGCUUGGAGCUUCCCGGGACUUCUUUUUUUUUUGUCGGUUCGUUUAUUUCCAGUUGAAGUUCACCUGAAAAUGACACUCGAGAAAGUCUGCAGGGGUGGAUCAUUAACAGAAGCUGUGAAGAACGCAUGCAUAUUUGUCAGCAGACAAAAGAGUGCACCACGCAGCGUCUUGCACCACGUUAAGGUGAAAUACUGUCAAGUCUGUACGCAUCAUCGUUUGCAUUACAGCAGCACUUAGUAGGUCAAUUGAGAUAAGUGGCCCUUUACGCCAGACGUUUUACAAAACAUGAGACAAAGGGAGAGUUUAAAUUGUAAUUACAAAGGACAGAAAACGGUAAAUAAAAACAAGACAGAAUGAAAUGAUCAACUACACUUCAAGAACAAAGAUCCCAGCAGAGACCAGAGGGGAAACUCAACUUCCCUGAAUCCAGAGUGAGAGUGUUGCCACUGCGCUGAGAUGCUGCCGUCCUUCUCUGAAGUUCUCCUGUUCCUCUGUGGACCUCUUCUUGAGCGUGGACUUCUUUAAUCACCGUGCC
rnacentral:lncRNA from 1 species